rnacentral:rRNA from 1 species
UACGUAGGUGGCAAGCGUUGUCCGGAUUUAUUGGGUUUAAAGGGUGCGUAGGCGGUUUCAUAAGUCAGGGGUGAAAUACGGCAGCUCAACUGUCGAGGUGCCAUUGAUACUGUGAGACUUGAGUACAGACGAGGUAGGCGGAAUUGACGGUGUAGCGGUGAAAUGCUUAGAUAUCGUCAAGAACACCGAUAGCGAAGGCAGCUUACUAGGCUGUAACUGACGCUGAGGCACGAAAGUGUGAGGAUCAAACAGG